CGACAAUUCGCGUCAUUGGAAAUAAUUGCAAAUAAUUAAAAACACCCAACAAAAUAAACAAAGUGAAGUGUGCCAAUAUAUAUUUAUUAAUUAUAACUCAAAUAUAAAUGACCAACAAAAACAACAACAAAUAGAAGGAGAAAUUAACCUGGAGAAUUUGUGACAUUGUACUUGCCGCGAAAUAUGGGAAGAG